GAUGAACGCUGGCGGCGUGCCUAAUACAUGCAAGUCGAGCGAACGGACGAGAAGCUUGCUUUUCUGAUGUUAGCGGCGGACGGGUGAGUAACACGUGGAUAACCUACCUAUAAGACUGGGAUAACUUCGGGAAACCGGAGCUAAUACCGGAUAAUAUUUUGACCCGCUUGGUCCAAAAUUGAAGGCCGUUCUUCCUGUCACUUUUAGAUGGAUCCGCGCUGCAUUAGCUAGUUGGUAAGGUAACGGCUUACCAAGGCAACGAUGCAUAGCCGACCUGAGAGGGUGAUCGGCCACACUGGAACUGAGACACGGUCCAGACUCCUACGGGAGGCAGCAGUAGGGAAUCUUCCGCAAUGGGCGAAAGCCUGACGGAGCAACGCCGCGUGAGUGAUGAAGGUCUUCGGAUCGUAAAACUCUGUUAUUAGGGAAGAACAUAUGUGUAAGUAACUGUGCACAUCUUGACGGUACCUAAUCAGAAAGCCACGGCUAACUACGUG
rnacentral:rRNA from 1 species